rnacentral:snRNA from 1 species
GUGCUCGCUUCGGCAGCACAUAUACUAAAAAAGAAUGCUACAG